rnacentral:rRNA from 1 species
GAUGAACGCUAGCGGCAGGCCUAAUACAUGCAAGUCGGACGGGAUUCAGGAGCUUGCUUCUGAUGAGAGUGGCGCACGGGUGCGUAACACGUAUGUAACCUACCUUUAUCAGGGGGAUAGCCUCUCGAAAGAGAGAUUAAGCCCGCAUAAAAUCACAGCACAGCAUUGUGUAAUGAUCAAAUAUUUAUAGGAUAAAGAUGGGCAUGCGGAACAUUAGCUAGAUGGCGGGGUAACGGCCCACCAUGGCGACGAUGUUUAGGGGAUCUGAGGGGAUGGCCCCCCACACUGGUACUGAGACACGGACCAGACUCCUACGGGAGGCAGCAGUAAGGAAUAUUGGUCAAUGGGCGGAAGCCUGAACCAGCCAUGCCGCGUGCAGGAAGACGGCCCUACGGGUUGUAAACUGCUUUUAUACGGGAAUAAACCCAGAUACGUGUAUCUGGCUGAAUGUACUGUAAGAAUAAGGAUCGGCUAACUCCGUG